UACGGAGGGGACUAGCGUUGUUCGGAAUUACUGGGCGUAAAGCGCACGUAGGCGGAUUUGUAAGUCAGGGGUGAAAUCCCGGGGCUCAACCUCGGAACUGCCUUUGAUACUGCAAAUCUCGAGUCCGGAAGAGGUGAGUGGAAUUCCUAGUGUAGAGGUGAAAUUCGUAGAUAUUAGGAAGAACACCAGUGGCGAAGGCGGCUCACUGGUCCGGUACUGACGCUGAGGUGCGAAAGCAUGGGGAGCGAACAGG
rnacentral:rRNA from 1 species